rnacentral:ncRNA from 2 species
ACACUUUGCUAGGGGUCCGGGCUAAGCCGGUGAGAGAUACCCUCUGAACCUGAUACGGGUAAUACCGUCGUAGGGAAGCAUUGCCGCCACAAU